rnacentral:lncRNA from 1 species
CCCAUCUCUUACCUUAGUCUUCCUCUCAAAGACUCUAAGCUUACUAAAUGAUAGGGACAUUAUGAUAAUAAUAAAUAAGAUGAUGGGGACUUUAUGAUAAUAAUAAAUAAGAGUUACAAUGGUUAUCAGAAAAUACAAAAUUCAAAGGGUCACUUGUUCAUAGAAUUAUGAAGUCAUCUGAUCAUUAAAUAUAGUCAAAUUAUAUAUCCUUGGAAAGCUCUA